UUGGGGUGCUAAGUGGCCGGGUUUUUUUUGGGUAGGAGAUAAAUUCUAUAAAUCACAAUAUUCCCUCUGAAAUAAAUACAGUUUUAGUGUCUAGGUAAGAAUUAGUACAUGAGUUAAGAGACUAUCGAAGUCUGAAGUUAUCCGCGGGUUAUUUGACUUGAAGCGCGUCGUAGAUUCACCAAACGGUUUAUCACAUAUGUUAGAUAGGUUAUUGCAUUUAAGUCCACAUUUUAUCCAAGCUCAAUACCCAUAUGUUCACAAUAAUCGGGUUACGAUGAGGUACAAGGCAUAGUCUCUCAAAACGAAGAGAGGACAAAUUUAAAUCAUGGAAAUCAAUCGGCAAGGAAAAUAUGAAUACUCGCAUGAGGAAUUGCUGCAAAUAUGGGAGUCAAAUGAUCGAAAAGAUGACAGUAUUUUGAACUAAAUUUAUAAAAAAAUUAAUGGAGACACGUUAAAAGAAGACAAAAAUAAAGAAAUAAAAAAGAAAGUUGAAAAUUUUUGUAGCUUUAUUAGAAAGAAUUUACCAAAUUGCAACAGACUGUUGAGCAGAUUCAAAGAAAAAAAUGGCUUGCGUCGAAAAUGACAUUGGUAGUUGAAAACAAAGAUUGGAAGAGUGCUUCUGCCAGCAAACUAGGACGUCCACAUUUAAAUUAUGAUGAAGGUAGUCAACGUUUGAAAGAAAAUUGGCCUUUGAACUAUCAACAGAGUGGGAGCACAACACCCAACUUCUUGUUCAUGCUGCUGCAGUUUCAGCAAAAAAUCAAAUAAAAGCGGCAUGGCGUGUUUU